rnacentral:rRNA from 1 species
AGUGAACGCUGGCGGUAGGCCUAACACAUGCAAGUCGAACGGCAGCACAGUAAGAGCUUGCUCUUACGGGUGGCGAGUGGCGGACGGGCGAGGAAUACAUCGGAAUCUACUUUUUCGUGGGGGAUAACGUAGGGAAACUUACGCUAAUACCGCAUACGACCUACGGGUGAAAGCAGGGGAUCUUCGGACCUUGCGCGAUUGAAUGAGCCGAUGUCGGAUUAGCUAGUUGGCGGGGUAAAGGCCCACCAAGGCGACGAUCCGUAGCUGGUCUGAGAGGAUGAUCAGCCACACUGGAACUGAGACACGGUCCAGACUCCUACGGGAGGCAGCAGAGGGGAAUAUUGAACAAUGGGCGCAAGCCUGAUCCAGCCAUACCGCGUGGGUGAAGAAGGCCUUCGGGUUGUAAAGCCCUGUUAUUGGGAAAGAAAAGCAGCAGGUGAAUACCCCGCGGUUCUGACGGUACCCAAAGAAUAAGCACCGGCUAACUUCGUG